rnacentral:rRNA from 1 species
CCUACGGGAGGCAGCAGUGAGGAAUAUUGGUCAAUGGGCGGGAGCCUGAACCAGCCAAGCCGCGUGAGGGAAGAAGGUACAGCGUAUCGUAAACCUCUUUUGUCAGGGAACAAAGGCGGGGACUCGUCCCCGGAUGCGGGUCCCUGCAGAACCAGCAUCGGCUAACUCCGUGCCAGCAGCCGCGGUAAUACGGAGGAUGCGAGCGUUAUCCGGAUUUAUUGGGUUUAAAGGGUGCGCAGGCGGCCUGUUAAGUCAGCGGUCAAAGCCCGGGGCUCAACCCCGGCGAGCCGUUGAAACUGGCGGGCUGGAGUUGGAGAGAAGUACGCGGAAUGCGCGGUGUAGCGGUGAAAUGCUUAGAUAUCGCGCAGAACCCCGAUUGCGAAGGCAGCGUACCGGCUCCACACUGACGCUGAGGCACGAAAGCGUGGGUAUCGAACAGGAUUAGAUACCCCAGUAGUC